UCAAGCGUUUGGGCCCUAUAAGUAGCCGGUGUUUGGCAAACCACUCUGUCACUUUCCUCAGAAGUCAACUCCGGACAAGAUGCGCGUCUACCUGGCCCUGCCGCUCCUGCUGCUGGGCAUCGGCCUCAGUUUGGCCCAGUACCAGUACCAGGCGCCCCACCAAACCCUCGCCCAGCAAUUCGCCGACGUGGUGGAUGUGGUCGAUCCUGCAGAGCAAUCUAUCAAAGCAGUGCGACCACCGAAGAGCCGCAAUCAGUGCACCGCCAAGCAGAACUGCUUCUGCGGCACCCCGAAUGUCAACCGAAUUGUGGGCGGCCAGCAGGUGCGCUCCAACAAGUAUCCUUGGACCGCCCAGUUGGUCAAGGGUCGUCAUUAUCCCCGCCUCUUCUGCGGCGGUUCCCUGAUCAACGAUCGCUAUGUGCUGACCGCCGCCCAUUGUGUGCACGGAAACAGGGAUCAGAUCACCAUUCGCCUGCUCCAGAUCGACAGAUCCUCCCGGGAUCCUGGCAUUGUGCGCAAGGUCGUCCAGACCACUGUGCAUCCCAACUACGAUCCCAACCGGAUUGUCAACGACGUGGCGCUGCUCAAGCUGGAGUCCCCUGUUCCACUGACUGGAAACAUGCGUCCAGUCUGCCUGCCCGAGGCCAAUCAUAACUUUGAUGGCAAGACCGUGAGUACAAGCCUUGAUUUAUGUGAAAAACUGUAUUUUCUUUUAUGUAGGCCUGAAUAGAAGUUUUCAGGGCGUACAUAAAAUAUUUACGAGCCAAUAAGGAAAACAUCUAAAUCUAAAAGUUCUUAGCUGAGUCAAUCAAGACAUUCGAAAUUUAUGACUCAAAAUCUGACCAUUAGACCUAAUAUUACCAGUAAUAUUAUUAGCUGUGGUCGCUGGCUGGGGCUUGAUCAAGGAGGGCGGCGUCACCUCCAACUAUCUGCAGGAGGUC
rnacentral:misc_RNA from 13 species